rnacentral:miRNA from 10 species
ACUUGCCACUUCUUCGCUUUCCAUC